rnacentral:misc_RNA from 1 species
UACGUAGGUCCCGAGCGUUGUCCGGAUUUAUUGGGCGUAAAGCGAGCGCAGGCGGUUUGAUAAGUCUGAAGUUAAAGACUGUGGCUCAACCAUAGUUCGCUUUGGAAACUGUCAAACUUGAGUGCAGAAGGGGAGAGUGGAAUUCCAUGUGUAGCGGUGAAAUGCGUAGAUAUAUGGAGGAACACCGGUGGCGAAAGCGGCUCUCUGGUCUGUAACUGACGCUGAGGCUCGAAAGCGUGGGGAGCGAACAGG